rnacentral:rRNA from 1 species
AAGCUCGUAGUUGAAUUUCGGCCCUGGCUGGGUGGUCCACCUUUGGAUGGUACUGCUCUGGCUGGGGUUUACCUUUCUGGUGAGCCGUUAUGCCCUUUGUUGGGUGUGACGAGGAACCAGGACUUUUACCUUGAAAAAAUUAGAGUGUUUAAAGCAGGCCAAUUGCUUGAAUACAUUAGCAUGGAAUAAUGGAAUAGGACCUCGGUUCUAUUUUGUUGGUUUCUAGGACCGAAGUAAUGAUUAAUGGGAUAGUUGGG